GUUCAUUUAUAGACUUAUCCACCCACUAAUAUGAAUGGGAUUCUCUCAGAAUUAAAAUUACGAAAAGAACUUGGCAAAUUCUUAUAAGAAAUCAAAUUCUAACCGUCAUUUCUGUUGUGUGAUUUUUCUUCGUCACUUUUUCCUUCGUAUGAUAUUUUAAUAUCAUACGAAGGAUAUUCACUAAAAAGAUUUCUCUCGUAUUUUUUCAACUGUAAAUACAUAUUUUCUUUUUCACAUGCUAUAUGCUAACUAUAAAUAACGUUACUACUGUUUUCUUCCAUGUGUUUUUCAAGUGGAAAAACAUUUUCUGUUUCGUUAAUUUUUCAGCUAUUACUAUCGAAUACUGAUUACAUAUUCGCUCUGUUUUCGAAAUAAUUUUUUCUGCUUUGACUAAACUAAAAUGAUUUUCUCAAUGGUAAUCAUAUCAGAAUUAAUAUGAACAAUUCCCGUAACUGCAUGACUGGCUCCGGCAAACUUCCAGCUUUGGUCACUUUAUUUAGGCAAUUCUUGAAUUGGCCAUUGAUUGUCGGCCACAUCGCGUAUUGGCCGGCCAAAGCCUGGAAUAGUCGUAAAUUCUCGAGUAUUUCGGGCUUUGGCCAAAUAACUCUGCCAAAUGUAGAAGUGGGCAGCACUUCGUGAACUGGCUAGACUUCGGGCAUUGGCCGUAACAUAUACUGUAUACUAUUAAUAAUAUAUAAUAUUUAAUUUUCAGA
rnacentral:lncRNA from 1 species